GACGAACGCUGGCGGCGUGCUUAACACAUGCAAGUCGAACGGAAAGGCCCUGCUUUUGUGGGGUGCUCGAGUGGCGAACGGGUGAGUAACACGUAAGUAACCUGCCCUUGACUUUGGGAUAACUUCAGGAAACUGGGGCUAAUACCGGAUAGGAGCUCCUGCUGCAUGGUGGGGGUUGGAAAGUUUCGGCGGUUGGGGAUGGACUCGCGGCUUAUCAGCUUGUUGGUGGGGUAGUGGCUUACCCAGGCUUUGACGGGUAGCCGGCCUGAGAGGGUGACCGGCCACAUUGGGACUGAGAUAGGGCCCAGACUCCUACGGGAGGCAGCAGUGGGGAAUAUUGCACAAUGGGCGGAAGCCUGAUGCAGCAACGCCGCGUGCGGGAUGACGGCCUUCGGGUUAUAAACCGCUUUCGCCUGAGACAAAGCGUGAGUGACGGUAAUGGGUAAAGAAGCACCGGCUAACUACGUG
rnacentral:rRNA from 1 species